GGCGCACCCGGCCAAGCGAUUAAAGGCUUUGGAUUGCGAAUAUCCCCGCGGGGUCU
rnacentral:tRNA from 1 species